rnacentral:rRNA from 1 species
GACGAACGCUGGCGGCGUGCUUAACACAUGCAAGUCGAACGAUGAAGCUAGAGCUUGCUCUGGUGAAUUAGUGGCGAACGGGUGAGUAACACGUGAGUAACCUGCCCCGAACUCUGGGAUAACUGCUGGAAACGGUAGCUAAUACUGGAUACGACCUACGAAGGCAUCUUCUGUAGGUGGAAAGAAUUUCGGUUCGGGAUGGACUCGCGGCCUAUCAGCUUGUUGGUGAGGUAAUGGCUCACCAAGGCGACGACGGGUAGCCGGCCUGAGAGGGUGACCGGCCACACUGGGACUGAGACACGGCCCAGACUCCUACGGGAGGCAGCAGUGGGGAAUAUUGCACAAUGGGCGCAAGCCUGAUGCAGCAACGCCGCGUGAGGGAUGACGGCCUUCGGGUUGUAAACCUCUUUUAGUAGGGAAGACGCGAAAGUGACGGUACCUGCAGAAAAAGCACCGGCUAACUACGUACCAGCCGCCGCGGUAA